rnacentral:rRNA from 1 species
UACGUAGGGUGCAAGCGUUGUCCGGAAUUAUUGGGCGUAAAGAGCUCGUAGGCGGUCUGUCACGUCGGAUGUGAAAACUCGGGGCUCAACCCCGAGCCUGCAUUCGAUACGGGCAGACUAGAGUUCGGUAGGGGAGACUGGAAUUCCUGGUGUAGCGGUGAAAUGCGCAGAUAUCAGGAGGAACACCGGUGGCGAAGGCGGGUCUCUGGGCCGAUACUGACGCUGAGGAGCGAAAGCGUGGGGAGCGAACAGG